CUAAAUAUAUUAAGUUAUAUCUCCUGUCGUCUUAUUUUUUUCUUGCAAUGUUUGUGAUUUUUCUUUUGGUGUUCUAUUGUUCUGUUGUUCAAACUGGUAAGUGAAACAUUAUUUUCCAGUAUAUACAUAAUAAAAAAGGUCCUAUAAAUAGUUUUCCGUUAUAUGCUUAAUGAUCAAUUGAUAAAAUAAACUACAUGAUGACUGCUUGACAUACUGGCAGGGCAAAACUACAACAUUCCAAAAGUACGAACAUUAAGCAACACGAUUCUGUUAUAAUGUUUAAACGUCAGUAGGUACAGAAUGAACUUAAGGUUCAAAAAUAAGUAUGGCAUUUUGCUUCUUAUAUUUUGAAGAAGCAAUUUACUUAGACUAUCAGCACAUCUAACAAGGAUUGCGUAUUGUAUUGCUGAGUUCGUACACGGACCUUUAAAUUUGGUCCUUUUCUUAUCAAAACUCAUUGCCAAAUGAAUACGUCAAUAUGACUUUUUGCCCUGUUAGCACUAGGUUACAUUUAAAUAUGGAUCAAAACAUUGUUUCAGCUUGUGUUGCAACAAGAUAACGUUGUCCUUCGUGACCAUUUACUUCAUGUUAGGUCAGCAUUUAUCAUGAACGAAUAACAAUUUGUUUUUUAUAAAAUCUUCAUAUGGUUUAUUGCACAUGACUUGAUCGUAUUAAUCUAAACGUUGUAUUGGAAAGGCGAUAUAGUAAAUUUGAAAAUGAAUCCUAAAGUUCUCAAAGACAAAGUUGCAGUAUUAAUAUGAACAAUGUCUGGCCUUUGAUUAAUUAAAUACUCCUAAAACUCUUUUACAUUUCAGAGGCACUUCGUUGCUUUUCUUGUCAGAAUAUUGAUGACCCACUAACAUGCAAUACGACAAUCUCUUGUUCCAAUAGACAGGUUUGUUUCCUGGAAGAACAUGGUGGUGUGUAAAAAUGGGCUGUAUUUACAAUCAGCAAGCAGUUGCAUAGAUGACGAAACAGUGGACUGCGCAAAAAUGAAUUCCCUUUUUCAUAUUUGUCAAGACAAACAUCAAGCCAGUUUAGUGUGCCCAAACUUUUGUAAUCUUUGUGGCUUAGUUGAUGGAGACGUGGCAGACUGGUCUGUCUGGUCAAGCUGUGACGACACAUGUGACAUUGGAUCUCAGUCAAGAUCACGUUAUUGUACAAAUCCAGCACCUGCUAAUGAUGGACUUGACUGUAUUGGCAGUUAAACUGAAACUAAAAUCUGUCAGAGGGAUGCAUGUCCAGUUCACGGCAGUUGGAGCCUGUGGUCAACAUGGGGGUCCUGUUCAGUCACAUGUGGAGUGGGGAUGCAGCGAAGAGACCGAUCAUGUUCUAAUCCAUACCCGACAUAUAACGGCGAUCAUUGUUUUGGAGAGUCUAGAGAUGAUAGAAUAUGUGUGUCAACAGCAUGUUCAGUGAACAUGAAGAGAUACUAAGGAAAGCUACUCAAAAUCCUGGGUGCAAUUCUGAAGAGUUAAGAAGUCCCCACAUCACCAGUGAGGAUACUUAAACCCAAAUACGUCAGACGAAAUAAAUCCCCAGUUGCGCAACUCCAGCAGCCCAAUAGUCCUAAAAGAGCUAAAGCUAAACCUAACUGGAUGAACACAUAGAUUUAGGGUGUCAGAUAGUUUUGUUUUUAUUUGAUUUGUAGCACGUAUUUCCAAACAUAUUUUUUUCAUUGUAUGUGACAUUUUAGAUAAAGUAUUAUGUUUCUUUUGACACAUAGUCAAGCAUGUUGUUGAUCGCCUCAUUUAAUAUUCAGGAUGCAUUCAAAUGUACUGUGAAUAUUGAACAUGAAAUCUAUAUUUUAUACGUUUGUGAAACCAUUGAAGGGCAUCACAUCAGUGUUUAUGUUUGUAUCGGCACAAUCCGAUUAUACUGGUACUGUUGCAUAUUUCUGGUGCCACGGGGCCUAAAAGACACUUCCCAUGUAGUCUUGUAAAUGUAUUUCAUACUUUAGGUAAUGAACUCGUAAUAGUGUACCUCCUUUUUGAAGAGUAUUUAAUUCCUACCAUAAAUCUACUUUGACUAAUUUAUCAGGAGGGCGUACGUUCAAGCCCCACUAGGACCAAACUUUUUUUUAAUAUAUCUUUUUUCUAGUAAGUUAAACAGGUUUUGCAAGACUUAUUAUUUAUUUAUUGUACAAAAACUGAUUUGUUUUUCAUUAAAUAAUUACUGCUGUAACAGUUUUCAAGAGUCCUAGUCCAAGCAACAGAACUGCUGUGUUACAAAGUGAACUUAUGCAUAUAUUCAAUAUAUGCAUGGACUAUGCAUAUGCCUCAGUAGAAAACACCCCUCUUUG